rnacentral:lncRNA from 1 species
AUGGUGGGGGAGCCACUAAGGGCAGUGAUGCUCUCACCAUUACCCAGUACAGGAACAAACCUUGAAUCAGCUGACUGUGAAUCGCCAUCUUUACUUACAGGUACCUAUAGGAUUCGUGACCAGGGACUCACCUGCAGUCCAGAGCCCCAUGUUAGACUAAAUGUGUUUGAACAGUCAGAAGUAACUGAUGAGUCAUUAAAAACAUCAAGAAGUAUUAAAGAAACAAGCAAAUCAGUCACAUCCUCACCCCAGAUGUGUGUUGGUGGAGACAACCGAAAACAAAAGGCUUUGCCACUCCUUAACCUUUCUAGUGGGUCAAUCACAAAGGAUGACGCAAGUGAAUUGUGUCAGACCAACAUAGACACUGUGAACAAUCUCCCAAGCAAUGAAAUGCUGUCAAGCUCUGAAGAGACGAUCACUCCCAGUCUACAUCUGUCCUAUGGGAACCUUCUUCAUUCUCGGAUUGACAAACUAGUCACACCCACCAAACAAGUCCAGCAAAGACAAGACAAUAGAGACUCAGUCAACAGUCAACUCAGCUGCUCUCAAGCUCCUGCCAGUCCUUCUAAAACUUGUUCCAUUGUCAGCACUGAGAUUCAGGAUGGUGGACAAUCAGGGUUAAGGUUAGUUGAGACCAUUUUAGAAACAGAAAAGAAAAACACGAUCACCCCAGAUGUCAAUGUUCCUGAACCCUUAUUAGUGUUAACAUUACCUUGUGCUAAAGAUGACAGUACAGAUGACGCUUCAGUUUCUACAGAUUCAGACUGCACUGUUGUUGAAGAGCCUGAAUCCAAUAAGACCACUGACAAAAAGGUUGAGGAUGUUGCUGUAUGCCAGCUAAACCAAAAUGACAUCUCGGUGGCCAUCAUCUCUGAUGAAGAACAGUGUAUAGAAAUGCAUGGUUUGCAAAGAGUUCCUGAUGCGAUUCAGGAACCCUCAGUUUCUACAGAUUCAGACUGCACUGCCGUUGAAGAGCCGGAACUGAAAAAGACAACUGAUAAAGAUGUUAAGAAUGUGGCAUGCCAACUAAACCAAAUUGACGUCCCUGUUGCUAUCAUCUGUGAUGAAGAACAGUACAUUGAGAAGCAUGGCUUGCACAGAGCUCCUGAUGAGCGAGGCACUGGAGAACAAAGAGAGAACACAGCUGACCCACUAGACACAGGGACCUCUGUCAGCAUUCUGAGAGACUUGGCACAGAAGCCACUGUGUUUACUUCCAACAUCAGAUAACAAUCAAGAGAGUUCAGACAGUGUCAAAAAACAUAAUCUUCAGAUAGCAGUGGAAAAUGAAGAGGUUUCAUUUACUGAUAAGCUGAUAAGCCAGCACCAGAAAAAAACAGAAAUCAGCACUUCAGACGUACGGAAAAUGUCAUCGAAAUUCAAGCUUGACAAACACUCCAACAGUGUUAAUGCAGGUGACUGCACAACACAACACAAGUUUUCUUAG